rnacentral:rRNA from 1 species
GACAGAGGUCCCGAGCGUUUAGGCGGAAUCACUGGGCUUAAAGCGUGUGUAGGCGGAUUUGUAAGUACCUUGUGAAAUCCCACGGCUCAACCGUGGAACUGCUUGGUAUACUGCUUAUCUUGGGCCAUCUAGGGGCUACCGGAACAAGUGGUGGAGCGGUGAAAUGCGUAGAUAUCACUUGGAACGCCAAUGGUGAAAACAGGUAGCUGGGGAUGUGCCGACGCUGAGACACGAAAGCCAGGGGAGCGAACGGG